GGUGGUUGACAAGGUAGUGAAAGAAGCAAUCAACAAACCUUGGUUGCCCUUGCCUUUAGGCCUGAAGCCUCCUUCCACUGAUACAGUCCUAGCAGAACUAUCCAGGCAAGGCAUCUCUAGAAUUCCUCCCCACAUCAACGACUCAAAUUCCAUGUGAGAUGCAUCAUUACUAAACUACAUCAUGCUGAUACAUUUUCACUUGGAUCAAUGUCAUCAUCAUUAAAUAAUGGAAAAGCUUCAACGAAUCAAAAUCCAUCAUCUGUGAGCAAAUGGAUGGGACCCCAAUUGCUGGUAUGAAGACAGACAAUGAAGACAGCACAAACGGCUACUGACAGACCAAGUAGAUGCAAUGUUCACCUCAUGUGAAGUUUGUGGUUGAUAAAUAAAUCCUAACAAAGGGUAAAAUGCUGUUGAAUGUUGACCUUUCUGGGUGUUUACGUUGAGCUUUUGUUGUUUUUCUGGAUAUUUAUGUUUAAAGCUUCUUGUGUAUGGAUGGAAAGUUACAGAUAUGGGGAAAUGGUGGGGAGCCUAGCAGUAGCACACAGGGACUUUGUGAAUGAAGUUGACGUAGAAUCUUGAUGGAUGCUGACACGUUUUCUAUCCUUAAUAGUAAUGAUGCUGUAGUAGACAUCAGAGCAUCAGCAUUUGGAUCUGUGGGAUUGGAAGCAAUUUAUCGUUAUUAUUUUUUUUUCUUUGUUUUCAGCCCAAGCAUUUAGGUUGGAUGUUCAUGGGAUUUGACGCAUGAAGAUGGGAUUAAUUGCAUUGGUCCACUACUGAGACCAUAUGCACAUCCAUUUCAUUAUCUUUUCUUUUGUCUAAACGAUAAAGGAACACUUCGCUUUAAUAA
rnacentral:misc_RNA from 1 species